CGAACGCUGGCGGCGCGCCUAACACAUGCAAGUCGAACGAGCGAGAGAGAGCUUGCUUUCUCGAGCGAGUGGCGAACGGGUGAGUAACGCGUGAGGAACCUGCCUCAAAGAGGGGGACAACAGUUGGAAACGACUGCUAAUACCGCAUAAGCCCACGGCUCGGCAUCGAGCAGGGGGAAAAGGAGCAAUCCGCUUUGAGAUGGCCUCGCGUCCGAUUAGCUAGUUGGUGAGGUAACGGCCCACCAAGGCGACGAUCGGUAGCCGGACUGGGAGGUUGAACGGCCACAUUGGGACUGAGACACGGCCCAGACUCCUACGGGAGGCAGCAGUGGGGAAUAUUGCACAAUGGGGGAAACCCUGAUGCAGCGACGCCGCGUGGAGGAAGAAGGUCUUCGGAUUGUAAACUCCUGUUGUUGGGGAAGAUAAUGACGGUACCCAACAAGGAAGUGACGGCUAACUACGUG
rnacentral:rRNA from 1 species